AAUUUUUGGAAAAACUACGAGGACAUAAUCAAUUGGGGCUAUCGAAUUUCUGGGGCUCGGGGAUUGGAUAGCGAUAGUUCGUUGGCGACAAUUAAUAUUGAUACGAAGGUAUUCACGGAACAUAACAUUAUUGCCAUGUGAAGGACUUUGAGCUCGGUGACUGGAGUCAGCAGGCGAAGGAAUCAUUUUAUAUUACUUGAACUGACCAACAAGUCUGGUGACCGGAGCUGGCAGGAAAUUAAUAAAUGUACAACUUUUAGCACUGAAGAAAAUGAGGAUGAUGUUGAUGCUUGCUCUACCGAUGGUAGCGUUGAUAUUGAUUUAGAAUAUUUGAACUUUUC